UACAGAGGGGGCUAGCGUUGUUCGGAAUUACUGGGCGUAAAGGGCGCGUAGGCGGCUUUUCAAGUCGGGCGUGAAAUCUCCGGGCUUAACCCGGAAGGGUCGUUCGAUACUGUUGAGCUAGAGUGUGGAAGAGGCAACUAGAAUUCCGUGUGUAGCGGUGAAAUGCGUAGAUAUACGGAGGAAUACCUGAGGCGAAGGCGGGUUGCUGGGCCAACACUGACGCUGAGGCGCGAAAGCCAGGGGAGCAAACGGG
rnacentral:rRNA from 1 species